CUUGGGAUGAAGUCCAUGAUGAAGCAAUGCAAUGUUUCAUCAUGCUAGACCUGGCCAAGAACUGGAGGGAGUAUCGAAUUGGGUUUUGGAAGAAGCAGAAAUAUAAUAUCUAUGAUGAUUUGAAGAUCAACAAGUCCAAGAUACCCAAAAGGGUCAACAAACGAGACUGAGAUGCCUUAGUUCUACAAAUACUAGUGUGGCAAAAAUUCAAUUGUAAGUGAUCUUAUUGGAUUUGCUAAGUAUUGAACUUGUUUCCCGUACCUAGUUUUGACUUGGUAAUUGAACUGUGUCCAGAAAUGUUCAACCACUAACAAAGAGAACAGAGUUGCUCAGUAUGUGCACCAUACUUCGGUAAUAACGUUAUACUCUUAAUUCGAAAUAGUGUAUGGUUAUGGAUACGUUUAUUAAACUAACUACUAGUAUUAUUUGUAAAGCUGAGGGCACAAAGUGGUCCAGUAGGCAGGGGAGAUCUAUUUCGCUCUACUCACAUGAAGGCUGAUGGGAAGUCCUAUCCCAUGACUACAACAAAAAAAAU
rnacentral:lncRNA from 1 species